UGUACUUACACCGACGCAUCUCGUUAUCGAUCGUACACAAGACCUUCUUCCCAAUAGCCUCCGAUUUCCGCCACGUGGCUAGCUGCGGGAGCAGGCUAAGCGAGCUCCGUCCAUCGCCGACUGGAGCUGAUCCACCUUCUUCUUCUUCUUCCUCCUCUUCCUCCUCGCAGAUCGCUGACACGAGCUGGAUCUGGUUCGUGAGAAGCGAAUCCAACCGUCGGUUCCAUUCGCGGUGGUUGAUGUACGGUCUGGUGUCGGAACAAACGGCUAAAACCAAUCGGAAAGUGAUCUCCAAGGCCUGGAGAGCCGGUUUGAGAAUCGGUUCAGGCGUCCAGGUAGGAAAAUCACGAGAUGACCAGAGCUUUCUAAGCUCCGGGAGGCGGAGGUAGAGCUCGUAGGCAGAGCAAGCGGCGGGUGCGGAGCAGGAGAUGGGAGAGGAGGAGACAGGGACCUUGAACGGAGACGGAAUAGUGACGUGGAGCUUUGAAGAAAGCUUAGGUGAGUUGCUUGGUAAAUCCGAUGAUACCAUCUUCGUCUUCCAAUCCAUAUCAACCAUUUUCUUCCUCUCUG
rnacentral:lncRNA from 1 species